UAAUACAUGACACAAUAAAAAUGAAAUACAACAAAAAGAAAUUGCCUUUCAGGCCAACAAAUGCAUGAAUUUAUCGCGUAUCAAAGCUAUGUAGAGGAGACCAAACAAAAUUAUGGAAGAACAAAAAAUAAGCACCACCUAAGAAUUCACAGGAAAGUCAUAUAUGCCAGAGCAUUCUGAACCUAUAAUCAAUGCCGAGGUUUAUG
rnacentral:misc_RNA from 1 species